rnacentral:rRNA from 1 species
GUGAGGAAUUUUCCGCAAUGGGCGAAAGCCUGACGGAGCAAUGCCGCGUGAAGGAUGAAGGCCUAUGGGUUGUAAACUUCUUUUCUCAGAAAAGAAUUAUGACGGUAUCUGAGGAAUAAGCAUCGGCUAACUCUGUGCCAGCAGCCGCGGUAAGACAGAGGAUGCAAGCGUUAUCCGGAAUGAUUGGGCGUAAAGCGUCUGUAGGUUGUUUAAAAAGUAUUCUGUCAAAGAUUAGGGCUUAACCCUAGAUAGGCAGAAUAAACUUUUAAGCUAGAGGUUGGUAGAGGCAGAGGGAAUUCCCGGUGGAGCGGUGAAAUGCGUAGAUAUCGGGAGGAACAACAAAGGCGAAGGCACUCUGCUGGGCCAAUACUAACACUGAGAGACGAAAGCGAGGGGAGCAAAUGGGAUUAGAAACCCCGGUAGUCC